rnacentral:pre_miRNA from 1 species
UGCUCCCUCUCUCACAUCCCUUGCAUGGUGGAGGGUGCACUUGCUGAAAACCCCUCCCACAUGCAGGGUUUGCAGGAUGGUGAGCC